AUUGAGGCGGUUUGUGUGGCUGCCAUAAUUUACUGGUGGAAAGCGGCGGUUUUUUAGUGAAUUUGGCGGUUUUAAACGCCAGUAUCUCAGGUUUUUAUAUUAGGGCCUAACUCUUAUUUUAGUAAUAAACGCUGUGCUACUCAAUCUAUCGAAACUGGCAAUGUGAGAACCAGGAAGAAACUCCAUCGAAGCGUGAGAUCUGCGAUCUCAUCCACGAUGCUCUCCUCUGGUGGCAAGCUCCUCCAUCAACGCUUUUCUUCCAGCUGUGAUCUCCUCCAUCAAAGUUUCCUGCUCCAUCGUGUUGUGCUCUGUGAAGCUUCUCCUUCUCCAUCUUCGUUGAACUAGGUUUUGAUUUUCUCUUUGUUAGCAGAAAUUGGGGCAAUCGAGGAUUCUAGAAUUUCGAUCGUGGUUUUCUCCAAAAGCUAUGGGAAUUCGACGUGGUGGUUGAAGGAAUUGGAGAAGAUAAUGGAGUGUCAGAGCAGCAAGGGUCAGAAGGUUGUGCGGGUGUUCUACGGUGUUGAUCCAUCGGAAGCUGGGGCGGCAUUUGCAUACCGGGAACCACUCAAGGAAGCUGCUUGCCUUCCAGGUUUUGUUACAUAUAUCAGUAGACAUAUCAACAAAUUCUUUUAUUAGCUUGAAUGAUAGCUACAUGUAUUCAGCAGUCGUCGAAUGUUAUGAAACUCUCAAGGAUAUCAUUUAUAACCUCCUGCAAGAUGAGGAAGAUAAGAUGAUUGUAAGCCAUAUUUGUGAUAAAGUUGAAUGGAGCAUACAAGAACACACAUUUGUCAAGGAAUUCAAGAUGAGUGGUUUGCCUUCACUUAGUGAGAAAUUGGAGAAAUUCCUAACUCUAUUGAGUCAUGGAAAAUCUUCGUCUCAACACCAAAGAAAGAGGACAGAGAUUUGUCAACAUAGACACCAAUUUUACUGUCAACAAAUCAGUGAAGGAGAAGGUUAUUAGGCUUCAUUUGCUUUUAACAGUAAAGGAAUCAGCCAUAAAUGUGCCUCAAAAUUUGGAUGCUCGCUGCCGUAUCACAUUCUUUGCAAAUUCCUUAUUCAUGAAUAUGCCGAAGGCUCCCAAAGUUCGAAACAUGUUGUCCUUCAGGAAGUAUAUCGCAUCAAGCUUUCAGGUUUUCCAGUUGUGAUUGGUGAAGGGAAACCUGAAAAUCAAAACCAUGCCAUUAUAUUCACUCGUGGUGAAGCCUUGCAGACCAUAGACAUGAAUCAAAAUUCAAUUCAAGAAUGGCAGUUACACAUGCUGAUCUCGAACCAAACACAGGGAAGACAUGUUUGAUGAUCAGCAAAACUGGUGUGUUCCUCGUACUUGUCACAAUCCUAUUGGGACUCUCCUCCUUCACUCUCUGCCUCAUAGCAGAAGCCACACGUUCUCAGGUGACAUGGAUGAACACAAGAAAAACAGAAUGUGUAUACAGAAGUAGUGGAAAAACGCCAUUGGUAUGUGCUGCUUGUGCUUUUGUUGUGCUAGCAAUGGCCAUGGUUAUGGAGCAUACUUAUCUCUUAAUCGCAGUUAGUAAAUCAUCGCCAACCUUACUUCAGUUGGAUCCUGAAUCCCCUUCUGCCAACUCUUAGCCUCCCAUGCUGGAUUUUUCUUCAUCACUACCUGGGAUAAACAUGAACUGAAAUUGGACUUCAAGAGAUUUUGGGAAGAGUUUCGAUCAUCUAGCUCUGAGAAGGAAAAGGAAGCGUCCUUGAUUUUUGAGUAUAGAUGUCUUUUGUAAAUUAGUAAAGCAGCAUGCUAAUGUAGCUUAGUUAGUUACCAUGUAAUAUUUAUUUAUAUGGAUAUGAACAAUGAAAAUGUUGGAAUGAUCU